rnacentral:sRNA from 1 species
UCUUAGCCCUGAUUGAAAUGUAAAUCCUUUUUUGUCAGGCGCGGCCGAAAGGCCGCGCCUGACAAAAAAGAUUGCAAUGGAAAGCAGGCGUGGUG